CAUCGAUGAAGAACGCAGCGAAAUGCGAUACGUAAUGUGAAUUGCAAAUUCAGUGAAUCAUCGAGUCUUUGAACGCACAUUGCGCCCCCUGGUAUUCCGGGGGGCAUGCCUGUCCGAGCGUCAUUGCUGCCCUCAAGCCCGGCUUGUGUGUUGGGCCCCGUCCUCCGAUUCCGGGGGACGGGCCCGAAAGGCAGCGGCGGCACCGCGUCCGGUCCUCGAGCGUAUGGGGCUUUGUCACCCGCUCUGUAGGCCCGGCCGGCGCUUGCCGAUCAACCCAAAUUUUUAUCCAGGUUGACCUCGGAUCAGGUAGGGAUACCCGCUGAACUUAAGCAUAUCAAUA
rnacentral:rRNA from 1 species